GACGAACGCUGGCGGCGUGCCUAAUACAUGCAAGUUGAGCGCUGAAGGUUGGUACUUGUACCAACUGGAUGAGCAGCGAACGGGUGAGUAACGCGUGGGGAAUCUGCCUUUGAGCGGGGGACAACAUUUGGAAACGAAUGCUAAUACCGCAUAAAAACUUUAAACACACGUUUUAAGUUUGAAAGAUGCAUUUGCAUAACUCAAAGUUGAUCCCCCGUUGUAUUUGCUAGUUGGUGAGGUAAAGGCUCACCAAGGCGAUGAUACAUAGCCGACCUGAGGGGGUGAGCUGCCACAUUGGCAGUGAGACAGGGCCCAAAAGCCACCGGGAGGCAGCAGUAGGGAAACUGUGGCAAUGGAAGAAAGUCUGACCGUGGAACGCCGCGUGAGUGAAGAAGGGUUUCGGAUCGUAAAACUCUGUUGGUAGAGAAGAACGUUGGUGAGAGUAGAAAGCUCAUCAAGUGACGGUAACUACCCAGAAAGGGACGGCUAACUACGUG
rnacentral:rRNA from 1 species